rnacentral:rRNA from 1 species
UCGGAUCAGGUAGGGAUACCCGCUGAACUUAAGCAUAUCAAUAAGCGGAGGAAAAGAAANCANCAGGGAUUGCCUCAGUAACGGCGAGUGAAGCGGCAACAGCUCAAAUUUGAAAUCUGGCCUCGCGGCACGAGUUGUAAUUUGUAGAGGAUGCUUCGAGCAUGGUCUGGCCUAAGUUCCUUGGANCAGGAUGUCGUAGAGGGUGAGAAUCCUGUAUGCGGCCAGGUGCCUAUGCUCAUGUGAAGCUCCUUCGAGGAGUCGAGUUGUUUGUGAAUGCAGCUCAAAAUGGGUGGUAAAUUUCAUCUAAAGCUAAAUAUUGGCCAGAGACUGAUAGCGCACAAGUAGAGUGAUCGAAAGAUGAAAAGCACUUUGGAAAAAGAGUUAAACAAUACGUGAAAUUGUUGAAAGGGAAGCGCUUGCAACCAGACUUGCGCGCGGCCGAUCAUCCGGUGUUCUCACCGAUGCACUCGGUCGUACUCAGGCCAGCAUCGGUUUCGGUGGUUGGAUAAAGGCCCUAGGAAUGUAGCUUCUCUCGGGGAGUGUUAUAGCCUGGGGUGCAAUGCAGCCUACCGGGACCGAGGACCGUGCUUCGGCUAGGAUGCUGGCGUAAUGGUUGUAAGCGACC